UUUGUCAUGUCUCUGUGGAAGAAGCUAAUCAAAAUUAUGGGUUUCAGAGACAUAAAGUCUUCACAUAUGUCCUAUCUAGUUUCUUCAGUGACUUGAAAGUAGUCACUUGCAAAUUAAUGGGAAUGAUGUUUGUACACUCAUCAAUGGCUCAAUUCCGGGAUGAAUCGAUGUUUAAUUCUCUGGAGCAAAUUCAGAGAGAUGAGGAUGUGACAAAAUUUUGUGAGAUAUCAUUUUAGGGCACGAUAUGGAGAUAUCAUUAUUACAUGAUUGAAACAAUGUGAUAGAGUGGAUCCCAGCUGAGGUCAGAGGAGUCAGGAGAGGUAGCUCAGAACAUGAAAAAGUAAAGAAAGGGGCAGCUAUCAUUGGAUUGCUGCUGCUGUCUCACUGUAAUAAAAAUUUGGGCAACCAGGAAUCUGUGACAGAAUAUCAGGAAAGAUAUCACACUUACAGCUAAUCAGAAAAAAAAAAUAAAAACCCCAAUGUGUUAGACAUGGAAGGUUUUAAGACAUAGCCCAGUUCAAGUGUCUUUUUCUACAGGUGAGCAAACUGAGGCCUCAAGGGCUCCAUGCCUAGGGCAGGGAUGACAAAUAUGUGGUGCAUGUGUGACCACCAGUUCUCCCAUGCCCAGGAUAGACACAACCAACAGACCAUGACAGUUGUUCCCACCAAGCCCAAAUAAGACCUAAGACGCUUCCAUUCAGUGCCCUUGGCAGGCACCAGCAAUCCAACUCAUCAUAGACACUGAAACUCAUGUGUCAUCCGUGGACUAGAAAACAGUCUCUCACACCAGACCUGAAAUUCAGUGAUUAGAACUCUUGUUAGUGACAGAGCAGAACAGUCAUGAUUUUGCCUUUUAAAUCUUGAAUUUUCAAGUUUUAUCUGCAUGUGGAUUAGCUGGAAUAUAAUUUGUAAAUAACAUGUAUGAUUUAUACAGAUGCUGCAGCUGCAGGCAUGAGAGGAAGGCAGCUUGGACGUCUCUGUUCAACAUUGGUCAUCCAGUCUGAAAGUUUCCCAGGAUCCAUGAAGGUGGUCCCCCACCUUUGCUGGCUCCUUGAUGCCACCUUCUCCAAAUGAGUGAGUUACUCACUGGUCUGGAGUGGAAGCAAAGUCCACCUGGUGGAUCCUCUUCUGUUCUUCUGGCUAAUAAAGCAGGUCAUCUACAGCAUUGUAUACUCUCUGUCUUUGCUUAACACAUCUUAGCAAUUUUUGAGAAAUUGUCAAAUAUUUAGAGGUAAUUCAAAUCUCUUAGCUCCUAAUGUUUGCUAUGAAUUCCAGAAAAGGGGAUAACUAUGUCUAUAUCAGUAUAAAUUUUAAAAUAAACUUAUCUCUAGGGUUUCAAUUUUAUUUUAAAAUUCUCUCCACCAACUAUCUUUUACUGAGCUAAAAACAUUCCCAAAAUUUGGUCUGUGAAUUCUUGCUGCUCUGUAGAAAUUGUGGGGUACUGGUUGGUGCCAAAUUUAAUUCUAAAAAUAUUGUUGAGAACUUACUUCCAAAUUCCAAAAGAAACACA
rnacentral:lncRNA from 1 species